GAUGAACGCUGGCGGCGUGCCUAAUACAUGCAAGUCGAGCGAACGGACGAGAAGCUUGCUUUUCUGAUAUUAGCGGCGGACGGGUGAGUAACACGUGGAUAACCUACCUAUAAGACUGGGAUAACUUCGGGAAACCGGAGCUAAUACCGGAUAAUAUUUUGAACCGCAUGGUUCAAAAGUGAAAGACGGUCUUGCUGUCACUUAUAGAUGGAUCCGCGCUGCAUUAGCUAGUUGGUAAGGUAACGGCUUACCAAGGCAACGAUGCAUAGCCGACCUGAGAGGGUGAUCGGCCACACGGGAACUGAGACACGGUCCAGACUCCUACGGGAGGCAGCAGUAGGGAAUCUUGCGCAAUGGGCGAAAGCCUGACGGAGCAACGCCGCGUGAGUGAUGAAGGUCUUCGGAUCGUAAAACUCUGUUAUUAGGGAAGAACAUAUGUGUAAGUAACUGUGCACAUCUUGACGGUACCUAAUCAGAAAGCCACGGCUAACUACGUG
rnacentral:rRNA from 1 species